UCAUCAAAUUAUUAAGAUUCUCAUCAUUGUUAAAAGCAUUUUUGUUAUCCAAAUUCAUAAACUCAUAGUAGAACCCCUUCAUGGCUUCAUCAUCAUAUAUCAACUCUCCUAGGUCUGCCUAGCCACAACUUGAGUCCCUAACCAACAGAUCUAAUAGCUGAAAGUAGCUUGAUCCCGAAGAAUUUUGAGAGGUCAUCGAAUGGAUCCCAAUAAUAUCAGUGUUGGUCCGUUUAUGAGACUUUUUCGGCGGUAGAGUGUUAAUGAUGGUUUUAGACUUAGUGCCCAGAACCCAAGGAGGCAUUGGAGAACAGUUUUGGUUAAACCUAAAGGAAGAGUCUUCAUUCUCCACAUAAGUUGAUGGAGAAGUGUACAUCUACAAGAUAGAAUUAGGACAGACUAACACCAGAUAUGAGCUCACCAACAGAAUAGAAGAGAAGACAUGCGACGGUCGAGUCAUCGAUUGUGGUCUGUGUGGUUAGAUUGCAGAAAUGAAUCUUGAUGGUUGAGUAGAGCUCACCGGCACCAAUGGAUUAUGGAACAAAGAUGAUGAAGGAAUUAUUUGGGAAAGUUGGAGAAGAUAUGCUACGACUAAGUAGUCCACUGUGGUCUAAGGCUGAAAUGCGGUGACCAGACUAGAAAACAUGUCAAUGGUGGUCCUUGUGAAAGGGUUGACAAAGAAGUCUAGGGAGACGGUGACACGUCGGAUCUCUGGCCUAUGUGAGUGCUAAAACAAUUAUGGUAUUGGUUGCUUAAAGGUGUCAUAUUGCCACUACGACUUUGAGAAUGGUGAAUGGUUGUGGCAAUAUGACUUUAAGCAGC
rnacentral:sRNA from 1 species